AGUGGGAUAGCUGGGUCAAAUGGUGGUUCCAUCCAAAUUUUCUAAGGAAUCUCCUUACUACUUUCCAUAGUUGUUGAAGCAAUUUGCAGUCCCAACAGCAGU
rnacentral:pre_miRNA from 1 species